GUCUAUGGCCAUGCCACCCUGAACAUGCCUGAUUUCAUUAGCUCUUGGAAGCUAAGCAAGGUCAGGCCUGGUUAGGACUGGGAUGGGAGACCACCUGGAAAUACUAGGUGCUGUCAGCU
ensembl:rRNA 5S_rRNA 5S ribosomal RNA